rnacentral:rRNA from 1 species
GAUGAACGCUGGCGGCGUGCCUAAUACAUGCAGGUCGAGCGAACAGACGAGGAGCUUGCUCCUCUGACGUUAGCGGCGGACGGGUGAGUAACACGUGGAUAACCUACCUAUAAGACUGGGAUAACUUCGGGAAACCGGAGCUAAUACUGGAUAAUAUAUUGAACCGCAUGGUUCAAUAGUGAAAGACGGUUUUGCUGUCACUUAUAGAUGGAUCCGCGCCGCAUUAGCUAGUUGGUAAGGUAACGGCUUACCAAGGCAACGAUGCGUAGCCGACCUGAGAGGGUGAUCGGCCACACUGGAACUGAGACACGGUCCAGACUCCUACGGGAGGCAGCAGUAGGGAAUCUUCCGCAAUGGGCGAAAGCCUGACGGAGCAACGCCGCGUGAGUGAUGAAGGUCUUCGGAUCGUAAAACUCUGUUAUUAGGGAAGAACAAAUGUGUAAGUAACUAUGCACGUCUUGACGGUACCUAAUCAGAAAGCCACGGCUAACUACGUG